CUCCCAGGAAGAAUCCAGAAUAGUUCAGACAAGCUUCAGGUCCGCCAGAACCGGGGAAAACAACGUGUAGGGUUUGUUUUAAAGGGCUUUUAAAUGGGGUUUGGGAGAUCCAGGUAGAUUAGAAUCUUGACUCUGCACUGGCUGUGCAAGACAGAAAUUCACCUUUCAAAACUUCUGUUCCCCAGUCUAUGCGGUAAGAAGUUUAGAUUAGCUGAUUUCUAGGGAGAUUUUGGGCAGGCAUGAUUCAGUUCCAUGAAGGGCUGUGGGACAGGACUGCACUAAGAGGUCCUAUAGAUUGGAUUCUUCAGUUCCCUCCCUUCCGCUGGAGAAUAGAGGAAUCUGCCUUCGCUGCACACUAGAUUUACCUGGAGAACAAAUGGAAAGCAGGCCAGGAUCCUGGGUGAAAUGUGGCACAUUUGAGGAGACUUCAACUUCCCUUGCCCUCCAGGUGUGCACUUGGAAGGGGGAAC
rnacentral:lncRNA from 1 species